rnacentral:rRNA from 1 species
UACGUAGGGUGCAAGCGUUAAUCGGAAUUACUGGGCGUAAAGCGUGCGCAGGCGGUGAUGUAAGACAGAUGUGAAAUCCCCGGGCUCAACCUGGGACCUGCAUUUGUGACUGCAUCGCUAGAGUACGGCAGAGGGGGAUGGAAUUCCGCGUGUAGCAGUGAAAUGCGUAGAUAUGCGGAGGAACACCGAUGGCGAAGGCAAUCCCCUGGGCCUGUACUGACCGCUCAUGCACGAAAGCGUGGGGAGCAAACAGG